rnacentral:lncRNA from 1 species
GAUACUUUCUUUUUCUUAAGCGAUUCAGUGCCCUGAGUCAUAACCAUGUGGAAUAAUGGGCUCCUGGGAACAGAAGCAACAGCUGCAUGGAGGCCAAAAGCAUGGAUAUUACUCUGAAUUUGACCUUCAAUCUUGGUGUAUAGAAAACUCAGAUAGGAUGGUAUAUAUUUUUGUAUAUUCACAUGCCUUUGUGUGUUCAUUUAUUUGUGUCUAUUUCAUUCCAACAAGGGUGUACAAAUGUGACAAAACGUUGGUGGAAAAUAUAUGUUUAAAUUUU